CAACAAAUGGGUUUAGUUGCACAGUGCCCAGCAUGGGCUGCUGUCCGGCAACUAAAGUCGUGGUUGAGAGUAUGGAGAAGGGAUACUGUUUUCCUUCCAUUUCCGGUAGUUGCUCACUACCAUGACCCUGUUGUUGUGAUAGCUCUUUGCUGUCCUUUCUACCUCACCUUCACCCUAUCCUCAGCUAUAAUACCGUUUAGCUUUGCAGAUUAGGAGCUGGGUGAAUAUAAUGGUUCGAGUGAAUGGAUGAAUGAGAAUAGUCAUUGUAGGCACUGCUGAGGCUUUUUCAUACAUCCCCACAUUUAAUGUUUACAGUCUAGCCCCUCCAUUUACCUAAUGGGUGACUGAUACUCAGAGAGGUUAAGUAACUUGACCAAGGUCACACAGCCAGUAGGAGGUGGAGAUUGGGAUUUGAACCCAGGAAUCCUGUUUGACGAUAGCUCCUUGACCCCUAGGUGGGCUCCUGCAUUUGUACUCAGGGGCAAGGCAUCAGUAGUUGGCAGAGAUCUUAGCUUGAUGCCCAAGGCCUUGCUGAGUAGAGAAGGGAGUUCAAGAGAGGCUUGGAGAUGGUCCCUUUUUGGAGCAACCUCUGACUGCAGGGAGGUCAGUUGAGACCCUGGACAGGCAUCCAAGCAUUUGGAGGAGGGUUGAUGCUGGAGCAGGAGCAGCAUCUUCACAGGCUGUGGUCACUCCUGAGCUGGGGGAAGCCACCCUGCCUGUCUCCUCUCCCUACCCCAUCCCCGCCUUAGUUGUCAGUGAAUGCGGUCUUUUCUGAGCUAAUUAGAAAUCUCAAUAGGAUCGAGAAUAGCUGCCGAAGACAAACGCCCCUUUUAAGUGCUAUCAGUGCAUGGGAGAGGGGGCUUGCAGAACUGUUCUUAGAGCUUGGGUUUGGUGGCUCCGGCUGGCAGCAGGAAGCAGUGGUUGUCAAGGCCUUACGGCAGCUAGCCUGGGGAGGACAGCAUCCCAGGCGACCUUCAGGAUCAGUGCAAGCACAGAUCUCCUUGACGGACACCCCCGUUUGGGACUUGUUCUUCUCCUUUGUUAACAAAAGUGCUUAAGAAGUAAAAAUUGAGUUAGUAUAGGAAACCUGAAGUAAAUAAUGCUGGCUUCAGCUAUAUGCAAGCUGUUCCUCACACACUGUGCUUUUCAUUGUUUAAAAUAGCAAGGUUUGGAUUUGGGGGGGUCACAGGGAAAGAACACGAUGUCUCUUUUACUUUUGUUUUUGUUUUGCCUCUUUUUACCUUUUCUUUUCCAAAAGUAAUUUUUGGGACAGAAUCAGAAGUGAAGCAAAAAUCCAAACGAGCUCUCCGUUUUCUUAAUACCUGUCUCCCCUUGUCUUUUUCUGUCAGGUUUGAAGCCGGGCUGGAAAAUGUUGGAGAUUUUCAGCCUGGGGAAGAGUCGAGGUUCAGGACAUUUUUCCUUUUCCUAGGAAAACUCAGAGCAGGGUUAGACAGUUCGCACAUCCAAGACCAACACGCAUAGGCACACACGUAGCCCUCUGUCUAGGGCCUGAUUCAGUCUGCAUUCGAGAGUGUUCUGAAUGAGAGCACUGUGUUGGCGUCUUCCACACCAGCCUCACUUCACAGGAGAAUUUUUCAGGAGCCAUUUUUCUAUUAAACUCAAGAGCAGAAAUUGAUGGGGGGAUGGGUGCUCUCUGGAGAUGUAAUUUGAAUUUAUUUAUUUUAAUGAUUAAAGAGAAAGAAUGGUUAUUAUUCACAUGAAUGACCUUCUCCCGGUGCUUUUUUGAAAGGAGUUGUGUUGGUUUAUUCAAAGUGGCUUAGAACUCACAUAAUGGCUUACUUCUGUGGAGCUUUCUGAAUGAAGCCAUGAACUGGGAGGGAAUCAAAGUCCCCUUAUUUCAGUGCCGGGAGGUAAAUGGAUAGGGGACAAAAGGAGCAAUAUUAUGUCUCAGACUAAAUAAGGUCUCCAGAUCAGGGGCUGAACCUGCCCCGGCUCCAUCCUGAAUUCUUCCUGUGCGGGUAGGUCCUCACUGGACUCACCUGGGCUGGAGAAUCAGCUUGGCCACAGACUCCUGGCUUGGUGUGAGCCUCGGGGAUUGCUGCCGGAGGGAGGGCGGAGGUCUGUAGGUGGAGAGGUAGGUUCAGGUGGGUGGAGAAGGCACACAGACCGCCGUCUGGGAUGAGGUUGCUAUUGGAUUGGAAAUUGCUGUUCAGCCGAGGGUAGAAAUCAGGUGCCUGAUGUGUGCCAGUUGCUGCAUGACGUCUGCCGAGCCCCAGGUGCACCCAUGGGGUCAUGCAUGUACACACACUGGUGUUCCCACACCCCCCUCUUCCUGCACUGCCAUGCCCCACCGCCCUUCCCCCACCCACUGCUGAAGUCUUAGCUUUCAAGUGCAGGUGUUGAGGUUAAUAACAAGAAGUAUCCCAGUUGGCCAUUUGCAUAUGAGACUUCUCACUGGGUUCUAAAGGUGGGAAGGAAGGGAUUUAAAAAGAUCACGGGCGUGAAAGCUGGAAACAGUGGCGUCCAUUGCUUGGGGCAAGGAUUGACUAGAGGUGAUUUUAUGUGCUGACCGCUCCUGUAGAAAGAGAAGCUUAGGCAGAUGUCAUGCCCUGCCUGUGCCCACCCAACCUUUCUCCCCCUGGCUGGAGCACUCACUCCAAGCCAAUAGCCCAGCUUCCCUGGAUCCCUCAGCUCCAAAGGGUUGCCUCCUACUCCACUUGCUGCAUAGAGGGGUUUUCUGGAACAGAGAAUGUGCUGGACCUAGAGCCCCUCGUCCUGGGGCUCAAGGACCCAGCUCAUGUGACCUUCAGCAGGUCUCUCCUGCUGCUGCCCCAGGACUGGCCACACACCAGGGCUCUGUCCCCCGACUUCCUCACUAGACCCUCAGGCCAUCUGGUCGUGAGGUUUUUACUGCUAACGGGACAGAGUAACGCACAUAACCCAUGGGGGAGUUGCAGCGGUCUAAUUGAAGUUCAGAGUGAUGUUCACUGGUCUGUAAUUCCUGACUCCCUUCCUGAGAGAGUCCUGGGAACUGAGCUUGGCUUUCUGCCUGCUGCUUGUCUCUGAUUAUGGAGACCAGCCAGCACCCCCCAACCCAGCCCCCCACUCACUGCCCUGCUGCAUCCAGCCCCUGGGUCUUCCACCUCCUGGCACGCUCUAGCCUAGGCCUGAAGUAGCAGGGCCAGACGCUAGGUGUCGCCGUCCUGGACCUGCCUCCAUCCCCGGAGGUCUUGGCUCAUGGGCUUUCUUGAUCUCUGAGUGUCUUUUUUAAUCCCUAUUGCCCAGCAACGGCUUCCUUGGUUAGAGACAGUCUGGCAAGUUUCCUCUGGUUCAAACUUACGUUUGAAGUUUUUCUACAACCAGAAGGUGAUUCUCUGGCUUCUGAGCUUCACCCAACCCUCUCUGAGCCCCAACAUGGGGGAACACUGGUCUCUUCUUUCUGUGACUGGUCAUCUUUUACAGCUUUGAUUCAUGCUCUUAGUUUCCAGUUUUAUAUGUGCUUAAGCAUUAUAAGACACCUCAGUAUUUUUAGGAAAUAAGUGGGGACAUAAAUAUAAACAACCCGGAAAUCACUGCCCCUAGAAUUCACAGAGUGGAAGAACCAAGCUUUUUAGGGCUGAUGUGGCGUGGGCUGGGAGACUUCUCUUUUGAGAGGCUGAUACUGGUCUUUGAAUGAACUCUUUACCCCACCAAAAGUAGAAAAAGGAUUCCAGUGACUUCAGAAAUUUUUGUUGUUGUUUUGAGAAUGUUGGCACCACUGGGAAUAAUGAGAGACGCCUGGCCUAUUCAAAAGUGGCAUCAGAAACCUCAGUGUUGGAAAUGCAGCCUUUGGUUGUCCAUCCCCGCAGCUAGAGCAUGAGCCCCCCAAGGCCAGACUCGAGGGCUCAGCGCUUCAGUUGAGUAGUCCUGAUUGAACUAGGCUCAUGGGCACAGAGCACUGGACUGGGGACCAUAGUGGAUGCCAAGGCUCGACCAGUGCAAAAUCAGCCCAAACUGAAAGCUGUUUGGGAAGGCAGAAUGAAUGUAUCAUCUUUCACUCGGCAAUUUUUCAAAAUUCAGCCACAGGUCUUCCUGGACCCCUAGCCAGGUUUUGAUUUUCUAGGCUGGGAUGAAAGAUGAAAGAGACGUUUAUUUGGUGGGAGGGGGAUUGGGACAUUGAGCUGCUUUUAAAUGAUGUUAAGAAUCCCAUUCUUCUCCCUGCUUUCCCACUUCUGCCCUGGUGUUGACUUUGAAAAACCUUCCAAGACAGGCUGAGGCUAAGGAGAUGGGGGAGCUUUCCUGAGCAGCUUUCUGAGGUCCGUUUUUUUCUUUUGAAAUAGACUGGAAAUCUAUCUCGGCUCUGAAUCAUCCUUCGAUUCUCAUCGCGGAGGGGCAGAGAGGAGGGUGCACGGGCAGCCCAGCUCAUGUGCCUUUGUGGCCAUCCCUCCUCCUGGCCAAGAGAUAACCGGUUGUUUUUGAAAGUCCUGUGUUUAUCGCGAGAGAGCAGUGUGGUCAGAGAGGCGGUGAGGAAAGAGCCGGCAGCCCUUCUGUGAUGGAUGGGUAGCCGACUUUUCUUGUGAAGCAAAGGCAGCCCACAAGUUUGUCUCUUUCAAGAGAAGAAAUUUAAAGCAAAGCUCCAGAGAGAGAAGUUUUUUCAGUCUGGUCCUUCAUGUAGGCUUAACAAUUCUAGGAGGGCCCUGAAAAUGGCAGAGACCUCAAUUCUCCCCUCCCUCCCUGCCCCUUUAUGGGCUCCCUAACUAGAGAGGUUUGCAAAGCUUAAGGGGAUUAAUGCUCUUUAAACCUCUGCACUCCUUCCUGCUCCUCAUGGGAUCCGGGUGCUAAUAAAGAUGUACUAGCUUGGAAAGGCUGGUAAACGCUGCUUUGUUGCCACGGCAACAGGCGAAACAAGAACGACACCAAGUAUUGCUAAGAAGAGUCCUUAGGAUCAAGAGUUUGGGGCGGGGGAGGGGGGGGAUGGUUCUUAAAAAUGCAGAGAGUCUUGGCAAGGUAAUUAGACUUGGUGCUCUCAAAGUAAAUUCAUAGUUUUAUGGAGCAUUACUAGAGAGCCUUGUUACUUGCAAAGUCACCCUCCAUCAAGUAGAAGGAACAGCUGAGAGCCGCCAGCAUCUGCCGCCAGUUGCUCCAGUGAGGCUGGGGUGUUGCGUCCUGAGACACCAUCCCCCCUCUCCUCCUCAGCAAGUAGUCAAUGUGUGCACACGCGCUUGUUUGGGAAGCGUUAAAAAGCUCUAUUUCCUGCCUCCUUGGUGUUGAAAGAUAUGAGGGAAUGUUCUACACCUGCCUUCUAUCCGGGAUGAUGUUAUUGUUUUUAACAAGGAUGAUAAGACAGUAGCUAAGCACUCCGUAAGCCUGUGUACUGGGCUGAGCAAUUCUUUUGCUUUAUCUCAUUUCACCUUCAGGCUGACCCUGUGUGGUGUAGCUGUUAUUAUGCCUGUUUUUUCUGAUGAAGAAACAGAAGGGUUAAGGAACUUGCCCAUGGACACACAGCCAAUGACAGAGCUAGGGUCUGAACAGGUGUGGCUAUAAAGCCUGGGCUUUGGCCCGUGGGCCAUAUCUUUACAGACUCACAACCAUCCCUUCCUGCUGCUCGAAUUUUCAUUCUUGAGGCAUGAGCAGCGCCUGCAGCCCCUGCUGGGAUGUUUUGCUCAAACCUGCUGAGACUUCCAAGGGAGCCUGGGACUCUGCUCUCCUACUCCUUUCCUCCCUUGUGUUUGGGCACUCGGCUGAGCUCCUUGGAAAGAUUUCUGCUUCCUGUGGGUGAGAAGUAGGGCAGUGUGAGGAGGCAGGGCUGCUAGGCUAAGAUCCCAGGCUGCCCCACUGACCCAUGUCCCUUCCUGGGUAAUGGUGCCCAGUUGCUCAAGCCAUACCUGAGGCUUCAGCCCGGGCCCCAUCUCCCACACAUCUAGCCAGCGUCCGCACCGCCAGCUCUGGGUCGCCCUGUCCUCUGCACCCACCGCCAUGCUCUGUUUCAGACACCUAUCCCAUCUGUCCCUGGCAGAGCAGCAACUCUCCGGGGACUCCUGCCUCCAGGCCUGUGACCCAUUUAGAGGGAUCUUUCUGAAAUGUGAUUCUGGUCGUGCCAAGUUUAGUGGCUGCCUGCUCAGGCGCCUCAGUGUGGCCUCCAGGGUAGGCGUGAUGGAGCCUACCUCUCCAUUCCCUGUCCGCUGGGGUUCCCUGCUCAGCGCAGCAGGGACCCCAGCAGCUCCUCAACCAGCCAGGUUCCCUGUCAACUUUUGCACAUAUUAACCCCUACCCACCUUUCCUUUGAUAAACUCCUGAGGGUCCUCAGAUGGGUGCCCCUUCCUCCCUCCUGAACCCCCUGAGCAUGCCUCCAUCAUUAUUUCCCUACACUGACUCCCCCAGUUACUAUGAGGAUCUUAACUGCAGGAGACCAUAUUCUGUUCCUCUUGGUGUCCCCAGUACCUGGGACAUAAUAGGUACUUGGUAUAUGCUUAUUAACCAGAAGAGUGAUGGUGUUUAUCCUCACCAGGUUGCUAUGGCAACAGAUGCUGCAGCCCCUCGAGGCCAAGUGACUUGAGACCUUGGAGGUCCAAAGGUCACACAACUACCUUCCUGGGGCCCCACCUGGCAUCCUCCUCUCCCUACAGCCAGGACAGGCUGCCCAGCCUCAGAACCACCACUUGUUGUGACUAUUAAACCCCAUGUCCCAAUGAUGCCUGGAGACCAUGCCUCAGGCACUUUACACUGUUAGUGGUAAUGGUGACACAUUAUCUGAGUUUUGUUGCUUGUAAAUUUCUUUUAUGCUGAUAAGCUUGGAACUGGAUUGGAAUUGAGUGGGGGACAUUGUCCAGUGUCCAUCAAGAAUGUAAUGGUAAACAUUUAAUGUUUUUUUCUCCUUCUUCCCCACAGUAUCAGUUUUCUUAUUGAAUUUGGGAAGCAAUAGCAAUUGAUUAAGUUGCAGUGGAGCUUGCCCUAAAAGGAAAUGAUUGAUAAUCCGUUUAGGUCUGGCUUGCUCGCUUUUCCCCUCCUGAUUUCCUUGGCCACUUUUUCAAUUACCAACUGUAUUUAGCUUGGUUUGCUUGUUGUAACUCAUUUCCCCUUCCUCCAGGAUCUGCAGGGAAGUUGUAAUGUAAUGUUAGAGUAGUGACAUCUAAUUAUUUCCCUGAGACAUCAGUUAGAAAUGUAAGAAUACUUCUUCCUUGAGGUGGGCAGACGAGGGAUGUGAGUCUGUGAGGCAGAACGUGUCUGUGCUGCCAUCAGUCUUUGGGGUGGGAGGGAGGUCAGGGCGUCCAGUGACAUCACAGCCUCCUGUCACUGGACUCAGAGCCCAUGUGGGCUCCUGAGGCAAGCUCAUAGGAUUGUUUUGCAAGUGGACUGAUUGGCUGGUUGGGUCUUUGCCAUUAAGUGAGUUUAUGAGGCCCUCACUACUGGGAGAGAGGCUUUGCAGAGGCUUGCGGCACUAUGACGAGGGUCACACCUGAUGUUCAGAGCUUUUUGUUUCUUUAGCUAAUAUCUUUAAGGUAAAACCAUCUACAAAGUACUUUUACCCACUCAGUGACAGCUUGAGAUCCUCCCAACAGUACUAAUAAAAGAAAGGAGAAAUUGAAUUAGCAGCUAUGUUUACCCUCCCAAAUUAAUAUAUGUAUAAUGUCUGGCCUUAUUUGGUGUUUAGUAAUGCAUGCUGUCAUGGCCACCUUCUCAGUGGAAGCACCGGGUGUGGGAUCUCCCUGUUUCACAGGUGGAUUGGCUGAGGCCUGAAAUGGAGAAGGGACUUGUCCAAGAUGGUUCAGGGCAUGGAGUAUGGAGCCCACUGUUGGGAUCGCCAAGAUGCCCGAUAAUAGCGUUCCUCAUCCCUGCCUGAGGAGUGAACAGACUGAGGGGUAAGCCAAAGGCAUGGCAGAUGGUACACGGAAAUAUCACCUUCUUAAGAAACGUUAACGAUGAGGGGCAGGCCGCCUGCAUGAGAAUUCCUCAGUCAUAGGCAACCAGAUGGGAGGUGGGCUGACUUACAUGGGACAGCCAGGGCAGCAUCUUGCUACCUCUUUUUACGCAAGAUGAGUCCAGGAAUAUUCCACACAAAAAAAGCACAGGAGUCACUCAGGACCUGGAGGCUUUUCCCAAGACAUCAUGAUGGAGUCUUCAGGGUCUGCCCCAGGGGCCAAAGCCCCCUUUCCCGCUCCUGCCAGACUCUCAUGCAUAACAAGUUUGGAAUGAAUUUGGCAAUGCCAUCACCACCCAGCUCACUUCUCAGUUACUUUCUGUUUGCUGUGUACUCUGGAAGGUGUGGAUUACCCAGGGAGAACCCUGCCUUGAAGGGUGUGUGGCCAGGGACAGGUUCUCUGGGCUGUUGGCUGGUACCCCACAGCCCUGGGCUGGGGUGUUCCCCCUUGUGCCCAUGCCAAGGCAAGGCUUUCUGCGUGGAAGUCUGGCAGGUGUACAUUCGCUCCCCAGUGGGAAUGGGGAGCAGAGGUUUCGUUGAGGCAUCUCUUGGGAGUGCACAGUCCCUAAUUUCUGAAAUACCAUUGAUGAGAAGCAGCCCCAGUUUGGGUCUGAGUUAAUGGGUUAAAAGAGCAGAACUGUUUUCUUGGGCGCUGAAUAUUUCUUCUAGAUGUUCAGGUCCAUAACCAAGGCAGCUAAGUCAGCGAAUUGUCAGCAUUCCAGAAAGAAGCGUCAUCUCCUUGGGUGCUGAGGACCUCCGGGGCUGCAGCUGACUCUGCCCUCACACACCCUCCUUCUUGGCUUUCAUGAUUUAUUUUGUCAAGAAGAAUGAGGGAGUUAGGAGUGGCAUCUCUCAUAACAGCCUCCUCCCAUCUUCUGAGAGUGCUCAAGACGGAGCUUGCCUGCUGCUGGCGUGGGGAGCUGACAAAAUAUUUAAAUAAAGGCUCUGGGGGAAAAGGACAUGCUUAGAUUACAAAGAGAAAUUCCACGCCGUUAUGGUCUCAGCGUAUUAGGCGCCUCUGUAAUUGCACCUAUUCAGCACUGCCAUUUCUAGUCACCACGCAGCCAUCCGAGGGAAGACGGAUGCUCUAAAAAUGGCCCCGAGAACAGUCUUUUUAAAAAGGCAGUUAACGAUCUGGAGCUAUAAAUAGUGUCUUUCCAACAAAUAACAAAGAGGGUCGGUUCCCCUUUCGCCUCUGCUGUUGAGGCCCCGCAUCCUGGAGUAAGUGAGUGGGGUCAGGAGGGUUUGCACCUCCCCUAGAGUUUGAGUUCUUGGAGGCCUGAUGACACCCAGCGUGUUGCCUAGAGGUGGGGAUGAGACCCUGGCUGGCUGAACUGCCGCUCACCGUGUGUUUUUGGAGACACAUCCCUCCUGGUGGCACAACAGAAAACCACGACUCUAAGUCACUUGCCCCAGCCCUCUGACCUCUCUUCAGCCCAGACCAGCCCUUCUGCCAGUUAUAAAGCACCAGCCCUGCCAAGAGCAAAGAGAGGCUUGCUGGAUCCCGCUGUCUCUUCAUGGAGUUCCUGAAUCACAGAACCUCCCAGUUUGUCUGUUUGCCUCCCAUGUAUCAAGAACUCAGAGGUUCAGCCAAGCGCGGUGGCUCACGCCUGUAAUUCCAGCACUUUGGGAGGCCAAGGCGGGCAGAUCACCUGAGGUCAGGAGUUCGAGACCAGCCUGGCCAACAUGGUGGAACCCCAUCUCUACUAAAAAUACAAAAAAAACAGCGAGGUGUGGUGGCGGGAGCCUGUAACCCCACUACUCGGGAGGCUGAGGCGGGAGAAUCACUUGAACCCAGGAGGCGGAGGUUGCAGUGAGCCGAGAUGGCACCACUGCACUCCAGCCUGGAUGACAAGAGCGAGACUCCAUCUAAAAAAAAAGAAAGAAAGAAAUCAGAAGUUCUUUGACAUCAUUUUAAUUCAUACCUUCUCCAAAUCAGAACCACAAAAGCAGCAUUACCUACACCCAGAAUAGACACAGACAUCAACAGAAGCACAAAGUGAGAUGGAACCCUGUCUCCCAACCUGAGAGGGAGAGUUUGGGCUAAAACACGCCCAUGUGAGGACAGCAUUUGGAAAGUUAAUGCUAAGGAAAUAAGAAGGAUGGGAGUAAAAAGAGGACAAGCCCCGAUGUCCUGUUUAUCAGCUCCCCCUCUCUCCUCUCCUGUCUCAUCCGCUCCCGCCUUGAGGAUAGCGUGGUUUCCCUGGACUCCUUUCCAGACCAGCUGCAGCCCCAUUGGCAAUACCAACUUCCCUAGCUGGGGUUGGCUGGACGGUGUGGUUCUUGGCAGAAGAUGACACAUGGGUAGCAGAGUGACUUUGGCUCCUGCAUCGAGUGCUUGUCUCAGCCCCAUCCAUAGCCAUAUAGAAUCCUAGUGGUGAACAUGCAACACCCCUGAGAGCCACUGACCAGGCAGGCACUGGGGUGAGGGAAAGUGAGGGGACUGUGUGGGACCAGCUGUGCUGACGACAGCCUGCCACCCAAGGGAUGCCUGUCCCUGCACCCUGGCUUUGUUCCUGCACCUGGUCCCCAGGAAGCCAAAUCCAGUGCAUUUUUCCAGCUUCUGCUCAGAGACAGCCAGUGUCUGCAGAAGGGCCAAGGCCACUGGACGUCUGGAGAGAGUCUGGCCACAAUGGCCAAGUGGUGGACGUCUCCACAGGCUGCCCCGUGCCCCUGCAGAGGCAGGGCUUCAUGAAGCAGGAGCAGGCAGCUCAGACCUGGGCCGGGCCACCUGUGCAGGGAGAGUAGCGAUUUACGAAGAGCAAAUGGAAGCGAAAACCCCUUUUCUUCUUUGGGCCGGCUGUGUAUUGCUGGGGCACUUGGGCAGACCCCCAAAGACAUCCUUAAAGACAAGAGAAAUCGGGGGCUGUGUGAAGAUGUCACAUCUGCAGAUAGGGUUCGAGGUAGAGCGGCCUUUUGGGUUUUCUCCUCAUUUGGAGAAAUCGAGAAGUAGCACGGAAGACCUUCAGACCCAGAGCUUGUGUACGGCACAGUCCUUGAAGGAUUUGCUCCCAUUCUCAGGGAGCAAGACCCAUCUUAAACGUGGAAACAAAUACAGCAGAGUAAUACAUACUUGAGGCUUAAUGUAAGUUAAUUCCUCUUGGCACAGCCCCAGAUAUCUUGAUUAAAUGGUCUGCGAAGUGCUGAGAUAUCUUGAUAAUGUACGUUUUACAUUUGAUUAUAUAAUCAAUUAUGUUUCUCCUAAUAAAAUUUAAAAUGAGCUAAAAAAGCCAUGAGAAGACAGUACCACAUAUCAAAAGAAGGUCUCCAGAUGAAUGGAAGGAAGCCCUGGCCCCCUGGGUCACAUGUUGGUGUUCUCAGGCAUUGGGGCCCGGUAUUUCCUGCGUUUACCUGUGCAGAAGUCAUCAUAGCUUACUAGAUUUGUGUUGGUAGAGGGCAUGUGCAGAGUGAGGUAUCAUUUCAAGACACAGAAUAUAGCGCAGCAUUGCUUUCUGGGAUGAACGUGGUUUUAUUCACUCAGUAACUGAGAGAUUGAGGAUUUGGCUCAUCUCAGGAAGCUCAAGGCAGAGCUGAGAAAAGAACUCAACGAAGCUGGGCUUGCCCGAGAGACUGCCACCGAUCUGGUUGGGGCCACCAGUCAAUUUAUGAAACAAUGUAAGGAGGAGUGUUCAGAGGCGCACCAAGGGCCUCGUACAGCCAAUUAGGAGAGUUGCUGGUGGCUUUCUCUGCCUGCCUGUGAAGCAGCAGUGCCCGCUGGGGAGGUGGCAGGAUUUAAUAGAAGGGGCAUGUUCAAACCCAUUCUUCCAGGGAGUGUAGGAGAAGGACCUGAUGAGUCUUCCUAUCCGUGCCCUGGAGGGUGAUGUUUCUCCAAGGAUGCUUCCAUGUAGCAGGGAGCUUGGGAGGUUUGGGGGACAAAUGCUCGUUCUUAUUAAUGGAUGGAAGGGUCUAUUCCAGACAAUCCAUUCUGUCCCGCAGACAGGCUGCUGCACCAUUUUUGUUUCCGUUUAAAACAUUGCUAUCAACCAGUUGGAAUAUAGGCCCGGAGUAUCGCAGGGAGUAAUCUAAUUAGUAUGAAGUCAAUUCAGUCGCUCCUUUUGUAUCUCGUGAUUAAAUAAGUGGGGAAAAUGGCUUGAAAAUUAGGUGCUAGAACGACCCAAUUACAUUUCUGUAGCUUUUUGUAUUCAAUUUCAUAAACAAUUUUGCUCUUCGCUGGUUAAUCAGUGAAUGCCUUUUUCCAGUUUGAAAAGCACUUUUGAAAUUAUAAUGCAAUUAAAUUGUGUGUGGAUGUUCUGGCAUAGCGAGUGUGAAAGCCAGGGGCUUGGCAGGCCGCCAUGUUGUACCUUGACUGUAAUGAGUCCCUGGGCUGGCAGCUUGCGAGUGUCAUUCAUAAUAUUGUCCAUGCUGGGUUACUGUAAAGUGCAGCUGCCUUAACCGGCAGUUAACCGGCGACUGCCAGUCUCUCUCUGCAGUGGGCUGUGCGUGCCUCUUCCAACAGGGCUGUACCCCAAAGACGGCAGAGUGGCCAGGCUCCUCUCAGUACUUGCCCAGGCAUUGGGAAGUCGGGGGUCUUCCUGGUGGAUGGGGCCACUGCCUCAGAGAUGAUCUGAUUACCUGUCCCCAGGGAAGGGUGGAAUGUAUUUAUCCUUCUUCAUCUCCUUGGCCUAGCAGGCUUCUCUGUCUACAGUUACAACAGAUUAUGGGAAGGGGAAGGGAGGAGACAGAAGUCUUAAGCACCUUGCUCUGCACCUAGCUUACAAUAAAUACCUUUACUGAAUCCUUCCAAUAACCUUUGCAAGAGUAGUAUUACUGUCUCCAUUUGAUAGAUGGAGAUAUUGAGGCACAGCGGGAUUUGAUGACAUCCCAUAAGUGGUGGCUCUGAGAUUGGGACCUGAAUUGAUCUAACUCCAAGACCUAUGUUCUUUCAGCAUUUCUGCAACUGGGAAACAAACUGAAAUAAAGGCUGGGGGAGCUGGGUGCAGGAGAGUGGCAUGAAGUCACUGCUCUCCGAGAGGGGACGUGAGGACAUGAACCUUCUUCCUUAGGCUGGGAGAAUGCCUCUUGGUCCACACAAGGAUGCCAUAUAGAAAAUGAAAGAUGCUUUAGUUUUUCACCAAAUUAUAUUUAACCAUAUUUCCACUCCUUUGGACAUUUCGAUGUGAGUUGGGAUGAUCUAUAAGGUGGGCACAAGACACAAGACAGUGACUCAAGGCUGGGAUCAUGAGAAGCCCCUAGGGAAAAUACUGGCCAUGGCAUAAUCCAGUGGCACAAUCCUGUCUCAGUCCCCAGAUCUUGCCCCAAUCAAGAACAAAGACUCUCGUGCCUCUAGUGCCUUAGGAUAUGAGGCCUGUAGAAGGUGGUCGACCCCCAAAGGGCCUCACAGCAGGAGGUGGUGAGAUCACUCUGAUUCUAGAACUUUCUUGCUGAUUAAUGGCUCAAGUCCUAACAGUUAACACCUAGCCUCCACCUCUAAUCCCCUUCUUCCCUAUUGAUUCUUUUUCCUGAUAGAGGCCUUCACACUAAACCCGGUUUACUGCAAAUGAGUGUUAUUAAACUCCUAGAGGGUGCUUUUCAGCACAUUCCUUCAUGUUAAAAUUGCCAUAGACUUUCAACCAAAGGAGGGGAGUACCUGUGGCCUGGUUAUCGUAAUGCUUGCUGAGUGGAAAUGACAAGCUUUACACCAAGGUGGGCCUCCAGGGGGCUGGAGCACUGUGGUGGUGUUUAUUGGUGAGAGAGGAAAGGUUAGCAGGUAGAAGUGAACACACCUGGGCCUGGCUGGUACCGGGGAGAAGGAGGGACAGAGGGAGAAAUGUCCUGACCUACCUUGGACUUGGGGAGAUUGUUUCCUGUUGUAGCCUCUUUUAAAAAUUUUUUUGACUGUGUCUGGGAGAUCAUGGGUCAGGUGCAACAUCUCUUUUGCAGUAAAGCUUGGCAAGGCUAGGGUGGGGAGGUGAAUGGGGUGGGACGGUGGAUUAGAGAGAGGAGGGGAGAUAGGGCCCCUGGGACUAAGCUUAGAUUUAGCUGGGAAGCAUGUUAGUAGCUGCCAGCAUGUGCUUCUAAUCAUCUAUUCGCCAGAUGUUCCCGGAAUGGGAAAUAGAGGGGCCUUGCCUGAUAGUUCCCUGAUGGAAACUGGUAGCUUCAAAUUGGAAAUGGGCUCCAGUUUGCUGCCAGGUGUUUGCUCCUUCCUAGAACAUCUGGAAGGAGGACAGUAGAAAAGGCAUCUCUGCCCCAGCCUGGAGUUUUGCGGGCAGCUGUCUUGCUGAUGGAUCUCUGAAAGCUGGACAUUGUGGUCAUGAGGAGAGUCAUGAGAAUCUUCUGAAAUGAGCCCUCCAUUUGCAGGAGUUCACCUCAGAGUUUAAACUUCCAGGAUUGAGCCUGAGGCUCCAAAACAGGGCACCUUGCAAGCCUGGGCUAAUAAGGCACCUAUUUCUGGAGAGAUGCAGAUUUUUCAAGAUGUUAGAGGAAGAAGCAAGAGGAAGAUGAAGAAUCAGCUCCUGACCUAAUUUCUGGUCCAAAGUGAAAAGAUUGAAAAAUACUUUUUAAGGUGGUGACUAUCCUAAACCAGUGAGCCUUGUGGAAAUUCCAUGAGGAUCUCACAGGGAAAACUGGACCCCGAAUGAAUUAACAUGGAACCCACCUAACCACACAAGUCUUUGCUCUGGGUAUGUGGAACCAAAAUUAUCUUCCUGGCUGAAAUGACCAGUUUCUCAAGAAUUUUAGGGUGCAGUGCAGGAUCCUAAGAUGGUGUAGCAGGAGGCCACUCCCUGGGCCUCUGAGUGCAUCUGCCAUCAGUGGGAAAGGGUGUGAAAUCUGCCUUGGGAGUUACAGGGAGGUCCUCAGCGUAGACACGAGCCACGGCUGACACACACUCAGGAGAACACUUACAAAGCAAACUGAAAGGAAAUUAUGGGACGCUCAUAUGAUGGAUGAUUACACAUCCAUUAAAAUGGUGUUUACAGAGAGUUUUUAAAUGACGUGGAAAUGCCGAUGACAUAGUAUUGCACAAAAAAGCUAUAAAAUUUAUAUACGCUGUGAAUCAUAUUAGAAUUAGAAUCACCUGGGGAGCUCUUAGAGAAGACCAACUCCCAGGCCCCACCUCAGACCAAGUAAAUCAGAGGCUCUGAGGGUGGCGCCUGGACAUCCCUGUCUUUUAAAACCCCCCAGGUGAUUAUGAUAUGCAGGUUGGGUUGAGAGUGAUUGCAGUAAAGCAGUAUUCAUGGAAGGAAAGAAAUUCUCCACACUUUCACCAGUGGUUUUCUCUGGUAGAGGAGUUAUGGGGUGGGUUGAAAUCUGUGCCUUAAUUAUUUGUGAGUUAUCCACGGUUUUGCAGGGAGCAUAGGAGCUAUGAUGAGAACAGGGGUCUCUUCCAGCAGGUAAAAAUGGACAGUGCUGGAGACCCAAGUCGAAUCUCUUCUCUGCAACACUCUUCCCUGCCUGCCUUCUUGUCCCCAGUCCUUGGGAUUCUGUUAAUUUGGGGAUUUAUUUCAUGCUCUUGGUGAUGAGGCCAUUAUGCCUAUUCAGAUUGUUUAUCAGAAAAGCCAACAACCAAAAACAACCUAUUUGAGACAAAGUGGGAGGCCCAGCAUGGCGCCCACUGCAAUUGCUCAUAUGGGUGUGACCUGAGUUCACAGGGUCGCCAGAGUCUGGCAGCUUGGGAUGCAUGGUAUGCAGAAGGCUGCUGGAUCCUCUCUUAUAUGGGGGUUCCUGGCAGGCCGAUCUGGCAGGCAGGUGUGUGAGUCCUGGCUGGGUUGGCUUUCCUCCCAGGACAUCUGGGAGAAAGACCAGCAUGGGAAGAAGGCAGUCAGGGCAGCAGUGACGGCCUCUGGGGCCCCUCCCCCUGCAGAUUUGAGCAAAGCCUGAGCCACAGGUGGGCUCAGGGUAAAGACCAGGGUAGGAGUGUGCACUCAGCCAUAAUUGGCCGCCUUGUUGAUGUAUUGGGUCCAGUGAAGAGCCUCUGAGCAGAGGGAUGCUGUGCCAAGUUUCAUUUCUGGAGCUGUGGUGGCUCUAACUAGGAAUCGAGCUUUUGCCCAGUCCUGACAUCAUUUGAUCAUUUAGCUCCGAGGAACCAGAGGCAGGAAGCAUGCCACUAACCUUUUACUGCCUGUCACUGUUGAAGAGGAGGGGCAGGCCGCCCUGGGAAGGGGAGAAUCAAUCCACAACUUGCUUUUGUCGUUUGUUAAGUCUUCUCUCCCCGCAUUUCAGGCUGAGGGGCCUGACCUUGCCACCUCAGAACCAUGAGACAGGAGGAUGCAGGAAGGGGAGAUGCUCUGAGGGAAUGUGGCAGCCCCCACCAGGCCCCGCUCCUCCCAGGAGAUGGGUUUCUGGUGGACCUGGUAGUGUUUUACCUUGCCUUUACCUCACGUACCUCUGGAUUCUGAAUAUUCUCCUCUGGUUCUUGUGCUCUCUGAAUAUUCUCCUCUUGGAUUCGUGGUGUGGUCAACGACAAGGGUCACCUAGUCUAUACUCCAGUUUCCUCUUGGGUUAAAAUGGAUAAUCCUUUUUGAGAUACUUCAUCGAAUGAUAGUAAGGAUAAAGUGAAAUAACCUACAGGAAUGGGUUUGGAAAGACAGUGGGAAAGUAAUAGUAAUGAUAAUAAUGUCACUUUGAGAGCACAUCCAGACACUCCUCUGUUCUUUUCCUCUCUGUUCCCAGCUGGGCAGGUGAGCAGCUUACACCAAAUGGGAAAGCCAAUACUUUCUACAGCCGACUGCGUGCCUCUGCCUUCCCCGCCCACAUCAGGAGAGGGUCCCAAACCCUCCCUCUCUGCAAAUGCCCACUUCCCUCAUGUCCUCUCAAUCCCACCUACACCCACCCUAGUUCUCCAGACCCCUAAGGAAGGGUACUUUAUCAUUAGGCCAACUAAUUGUUCAUCUGUGCUUCAGUGGGUGUGGUGGGGGAGCUAGAAAGCUGAUCAGCCGUGCCAAAGAGUAAAUCAAUGGAUCGUAGCCAAGUCAGGACAGGUGACCCUGACAGGUGUGUGCAGCAGAAUCGGAUCCUCAAGCCAGAGCCUGCUGGGAAGCAUGAAGGAUUUGGCAUCACCAAGGAGGAAUGUCGCAGGUUUGAAUAAGGAUUCAGAGGUUUAAUCAGCAAAGCUAUUUAGGUCCCAGUGAGUCUAACUGUGAGAAUUAUUUUGAGCUUCACCCUGUUCCAGAAAUUUUGGGUUCGCUAAGCAAGAUGGUAUUUGGCAGCAGCAACCUGGAAAAGAGUGAGGACUUGCCAUAGAAGCCUCUGGGAUUAGAGGAAUUUGCAGAGCCUCAGAGCCCAAGGCUGGCGCCCAGUAAUUUUUGUGGGACAUGGUCUCAGAACUCUAGCUUCUGACGAUUUGCUUUUAAAAGUCCAAUCUGUCUGCCUUUCUCCUUAAGGCAAUCUGUCCUGAAUUCAAGAUAUUCUGUGUCUGCUUGUCUUUGUCCAUUUUGUCACCUUGAGACAUGGCUGCAGCCUCAGGUACCUCCUGGCACAUAAGCAGGUGCUAAACCAAUAUUGAUUGAAUCGAAGGAGGCUAGCACGUUGGAGGGAAUGUGUUGCCUUCUGUGUAAAGAGCCCUCCUUUCCCCAGAGCUGGCAUCUCUGCUAUGGAGGCUGCCACCCACCAGCUCAGGGCAGAGAGCUGAGCUCGGCCGACCUCCAUUCGUCAGCACGGCGCCACAUUUGGGUAGCACCUGCUUCCCCGCCGUCCUGAUUUAGAGGAGCCUGGAUUCAGGUUUCUGUUGUAAACUCUAUUUUUAACUAAACCGAGUGGAGAUCAGGCUGAGAUGGCUGUAACUUAUGGGCAUGAGGUGACCAAUGCAAAGGUAACAGGAUGCAUUCUCACUGGAACUGCUGUGCAAGUGUGGACGUGCCCGACAACUCCGUCUGAGGAUCCCACAUGGGCACAGUGACCUGGGAUGGAGCAGGAGUGCCCCCUCGUAGAGUCCAGAUGCACAUGUCCAAUGGGAAGGCGAGGGCAGUCUCCUAGAAUGCCUCUGUGGUGGGCGGUACGGUGUUCAUGGGGACCACUUGUCAGUGUCUGCCCUUAUUUGUCAGCAUUGGUUACUAGUUAUUGUAAAGAUAUUGCCUUACAUUUAUAUUUCCCAAAUGCAUUGAUCCCUAUAAUGACCUUGAAAAGCAAUAAUAGCGUUAUAAUAAUAUGUAAUAAUAGUAUUAAUGACCAGCAACUUCUGCUUAUUGAUCCCUUAGGAUGUGUCGUGCUCUGUGCCAAGUGCCCUCCUACAUUAUCACUCAUUAAUAAACCAGGUGGGGAGGCUGUUACUGGGAUUUCCAUUUUUCAGAUUCAUUCAUUCAUUUGACAAAUUUUUAUUGAGAAUAAGUUCUAGGCACAGGGAAUUCAGCAGUGAACCACCCAGGCUGAAAUCUCUGCCCUCAAUGAGGAAGCUGAGCCUGUUGAGGUCACCUGAGUUGCUCAGGGUGAUAGAGCCCAUAGAGUGAGGCUGGGGAUCAACCCCCAUCACUCCAGACCUGCUGAGUUCCUGGGCCACCACAUUUAUCAGCAAGGAUAACCGACCAGCCAUUGGCCUCUAUUAUAUGGCAGCUUAUCCAGGGCUGUGUUAACACUAAGCCUUCCAUUUAUUUUGGUUGAUCUUCCAGGGGCUGAUGGAGGAGUGACAGGCUUUAGGGACAGACAGACCUGGGCUUACAUCCCAGCUCAGCGACUCCCUGAUGGAAGGAGGGCAUGGACAGUGACUUGACUUUGCUGAGCAUCUGAUUCCUCAUUUGUCUAACUGGGAUAACAUUACUUGCCUUGAGGGCGAGGGCAGGCUAGAAGGAUUAGAUAUCAUCAUAUGAAGGGGUUGAGUAGGACUUAUAAGCCAAGUACGUGGUGGUGGUUGUGACGAUAAUGAUGACAACCUAAUAAGAAGGAAAAGCCAGGCGGGGAAAGGAAUAUGGCUCAUCCUAGAGGAGAACAAGUCAGGAGGUAGCUCUACCCCUCCCUCCCUGGGCUAGGAUUUGUCAGUCCCAGGUUGGGAAAGGAACUCCAGCCCCUGCACAUCUGUGUCUCCCCAGCCCCACCCCUCAUAUCCUCCAUCCUAGCCCCAGCAAUGCCGCUGCUCCUCUGGGGAAAGCUAAUGGCCAAGGCAUUACUUAACUCCUGGCUUUUCUCCAGCCUUUGCUGAGGCCUCCACCACUGCCAGCUUCUCUCUCGUCACUAUUUGGUUAUGUUCCUUUACAAGCCAAUGAAAUAAAAUAAGAAAGUCCAUUAUACCUCUGGUUGGCAGAAAACCAGGAGCUAAGAACCAGAGUGCAAAGGCCCUCAUGAGUCUGUAGCACAGGCCAUUGGAUGGGGAUGUCUUCCUUCAGAAGGAUGGUGCAUGGGCGGGGCAGGGCGGAGAAGCCAGCCCAUGGGCCAGUCCACAGAGCCCAGGUCAAGGAUGCAAUUCUGGGUCCUGUGUCCCCAUGGUUGAGCCUCUGGUGGCCACCCCCAGUCUCUCCUAGAAGGUUUCCAGCCUGGAUGUGUCAGGCUGGCAUGUGUGCCAGGCUGGAUGUGUCAUAUGGGGCACAGCCUUUAGGCGCAGCAGUAGGUGACCCUUUGUAGGGCAAGGGUCUCUCUCUGAGUGUGGGUUCUGUCCUAGCUUUUGCCAUCUAUCUUCUACCAACUACUGUGGAGCUUCGGUUUCAUCAGUCUUAAGAGAUGAGCAGGACAGAUGGCUCUGCCAGCCUUCAAAGACACAAAUUCUGCAUUCUCUCUCUCUC